CAAUAUGAAGGUCAGGCUGAAGACCUUACCCGAUUAGCUGAGAGGUGGUGCAUGGCCGUCGUCAGUUCGUACUGUGAAGCAUCCUGUUAAGUCAGGCAACGAGCGAGACCCACGUCCACAGUUGCCAGCAUACCCUCCGGGGUGAUGGGUACACUGUGGAGACCGCCGCUGCUAAAGCGGAGGAAGGAGUGGGCAACGGUAGGUCAGUAUGCCCCGAAUCUCCCGGGCUACACGCGGGCUACAAUGGUUGGUACAAUGGGCAUCUACCCCGAAAGGGGAAGGAAAUCUCUUAAAGCCAAUCGUAGUUCGGAUUGAGGGCUGCAACUCGCCCUCAUGAAGUUGGAAUCCGUAGUAAUCGCGUUUCAACAGAACGCGGUGAAUACGUCCCUGCUCCUU
rnacentral:rRNA from 1 species